rnacentral:rRNA from 1 species
UACGUAGGGACCGAGCGUUGUCCGGAUUCAUUGGGCGUAAAGAGCUCGUAGGCGGCCACUCAAGUCGAAUGUGAAACCUCGAGGCUUAACCUCGAGCCUGCAUUCGAUACUGGGCGGCUAGAGUCUGGUAGGGGGAUCUGGAAUUCCUGGUGUAGCGGUGAAAUGCGUAGAUAUCAGGAGGAACACCGGUGGCGAAGGCGGCUAUCUGGACAGAGUCUGACGCUGAGGCGCGAAAGCUAGGGGAGCAAACAGG